rnacentral:rRNA from 1 species
GGUGAACGCUGGCGGCGUGCCUAAUACAUGCAAGUCGAGCGAACAGACGAGGAGCUUGCUCCUCUGACGUUAGCGGCGGACGGGUGAGUAACACGUGGAUAACCUACCUAUAAGACUGGGAUAACUUCGGGAAACCUGAGCUAAUACCGGAUAAUAUAUUGAACCGCAUGGUUCAAUAGUGAAAGACGGUUUUGCUGUCACUUAUAGAUGGAUCCGCGCCGCAUUAGCUAGUUGGUAAGGUAACGGCUUACCAAGGCAACGAUGCGUAGCCGACCUGAGAGGGUGAUCGGCCACACUGGAACUGAGACACGGUCCAGACUCCUACGGGAGGCAGCAGUAGGGAAUCUUCCGCAAUGGGCGAAAGCUUGACGGAGCAACGCCGCGUGAGUGAUGAAGGUCUUCGGAUCGUAAAACUCUGUUAUUAGGGAAGAACAAAUGUGUAAGUAACUAUGCACGUCUUGACGGUACCUAAUCAGAAAGCCACGGCUAACUACGUG